AUGCAUACAUCCAUUUUCUGUAAUUUCCAUAAGGAAAUCAAAUAGAAUAAAUCUUACUAAAUACAUGAAAAAGAAAAUAGAAAUAGAAGAAGGGAGGGGAAAUUGUUGGUGAGUGUAUGACUGUUGAACAGCGCCGCCGGCGCUACGCGCCACGGCGGCUGGCGGAAGGAGGCAGGGGCGGCGUACGGCGAGAGAGGAAACAGGGGCAGCGGCACCGUGGUCUCUGCCGCUGCUGUGUACUUCCGGUCAGGGCGGAGGGAGAGGCGCUUGGGUUGUGCCGCUGUCGACGCGAGAGGGCGGUAGUGGUGGCGAAGGUCGCCGGAGAAGGAGACGCGGCCGCGGCUUGGCGCGGCGAGGAGAGGCAAGAGACCGAGGGAGAGAGGGAAGGAGAGAGAAGUGGAGCAGUUGCUGUGCGUAAGUGAGUGAAUGAGUGUUAUAUUAGGGGUUGAUAUUAGUCUUUGGGCUUGGGCUUAGGUUAAAUUCAUUUAAUGAGCUGAAUUUACUUAAAUAAUUGGGCUAAUAAUUUUAAUAAAAAUUGGGCUUUUAUUUUAAAUUAAGAUUUAAGCAACAAGAUCAUGCCUUAAAUAUUUUAUUAAUAAGAUCAAUGUAAUUUUAAAGGUUUUAUGUAAAUUUUCUUUAAUUUUUAAAUUAUUUUUACAAGUUCAAAUAGGCCCUUAUGUUUAUUAUUUGAAUUUAUCUGACUAGGUGCGGCGCGACUAGGACAUAACUGUUGAUCUGAAAUUAUUCAAGUUAUCUAUCAAAUCCAUAUUUUCAGGUGUGGGAUUUAUUUCAGUACAUGCACGUGGUUAAUAUUUGUCCAUUUUAAUAUUAUGUGUUUACCGUAUGUGUUGUAAAAAUAUUUAUCGCUAGGGGCCAGCAUAAUUGGUCCAGGACUUCACCGUCCUUGGUAUGCCACAAUGCGAUUUCAUGUUACAGGGUUGCAACCAUUAUAUUGUCGCCAGGGGCCCACAUAUAGGGUCCGGGACAUUAAAGUCCUUGGAGUUGCCACAGUGCGUAUGGAAGUUAUGUUACGUUAUGACAAUAUGUGUUACCAUUUUAUUAACAUGGACAAUUAUUGCAUGUUCCCACACUGAGUGUACCCUGUAUGCUCAUCCCAUAUUCAACAGUUUCAGGUGAUUGAUAUUGGAGGCGCGUGGAGAGUCGAAUGGGCGCGUCGAAUCUAAUUAAAAAUAAAUGUUUCUUAAAACAUAUUAUGUUAUUUCAUUUGAUAUCUUUUGGUUAUGUAAACUCUGAAAUUCUAUACUAUUUGAGAUUUGUGUGUGAUUUGUUUAAAUAAAUGUUAUUAUAUUAUUUUAA
rnacentral:lncRNA from 1 species